AGUGAACGCUGGCGGUAGGCCUAACACAUGCAAGUCGAACGGCAGCACAGUAAGAGCUUGCUCUUACGGGUGGCGAGUGGCGGACGGGUGAGGAAUACAUCGGAAUCUACUUUUUCGUGGGGGAUAACGUAGGGAAACUUACGCUAAUACGGCAUACGACCUACGGGUGAAAGCAGGGGAUGUUCGGACCUUGCGCGAUUGAAUGAGCCGAUGUCGGAUUAGCUAGUUGGCGGGGUAAAGGCCAACCAAGGCGACGAUCCGUAGCUGGUCUGAGAGGAUGAUCAGCCACACUGGAACUGAGACACGGUCCAGACUACUACGGGAGGCAGCAGUGGGGAAUAUUGGACAAUGGUCGCAAGCCUGAUCCAGCCAUACCGCGUGGGUUAAGAAGGCCUUCGGGUUGUAAAGCCCUUUUGUUGGGAAAGAAAAGCAGCAGGUUAAUACCCCGCUGUUCUGACGGUACCCAAAGAAUAAGCACCGGCUAACUUCGUG
rnacentral:rRNA from 1 species